CUGACGUUAGCGGCGGACGGGUGAGUAACACGUGGGUAACCUACCUAUAAGACUGGGAUAACUCCGGGAAACCGGGGCUAAUACCGGAUAACACAUGAAACCGCAUGGUUUCAUGAUGAAAGACGGUUUUGCUGUCACUUAUAGAUGGACCCGCGGCGUAUUAGCUAGUUGGUAAGGUAACGGCUUACCAAGGCAACGAUACGUAGCCGACCUGAGAGGGUGAUCGGCCACACUGGAACUGAGACACGGUCCAGACUCCUACGGGAGGCAGCAGGA
rnacentral:rRNA from 1 species